AGCUCCGUCACAGGGCGGCAAGAUGGCGGCCCGGCCCGGUCAGAGGCGUUCGGGGCGGCGUUUCCACGGUGACCCGGGUCCGUCGAGGCUUCGUCGCCAAGGCCCGGGAGGAGGAGGAAGGGCGCCGGGAGCGUGGCCUUCCAAACCGAGCCGGGGUUGGGCGUGAGGCCGCGCCUGCCUCCCUUCCCUGCCCGGACGUUUGCAGGCCAAGGCGGGGAAGGAAUCCCAGGCAGGAAAAGCCCCUUGGCCUGCGCGCCCUCCCUGCCUGCCGGAGUUUGGGACUCUUCCCAACCCGUAGGCUGGCUGCUAGGCAUUGUGGGAGUUGGAGUCCCAAGUUCACCCAGGCCUCUUCUUUUUUAUGUAUUUUUAUGUAUUUCAAUAAAAAUGAUUUAAAAAAAAUAAAUGGAGGUGAGCACCAACCUCCAGAGUGUGAGUAGAUCAAUAGGUACCGCUCCAGCGGGAAGGUAACGGCGCUCCAUGCCGUCGUGCCAGUGGCCACAUGACCCUGGAGGUGUCUACGGACAACGCCGGCGCUUCGGCUUAGAAAUUAUUUCUACUAAUAGGUUUGAGAAAGUAAAAAAGUAGACCAGAAGGAAGAAGGCGGGACCAGGAAGACACCUGUCCAUCAUGUCUCCUGUAUCAAUUUCACAAUAGAAUAAUAGAGAAUACUCAUACUAUACUCAUCAUAUACUGUAUACACAUAUAAUAUUGAUAAUAUUCCGAUGUAAUACAAUACAAUAAUAAUAAUAAUACGGUAUUAUAAUUAUAUAUUUAUAUUACAUGUAAUAUUCCUAAUAAUAUUGCAAUAUAGUCCUAUAGUACAAUAUAAUAAUAUAUAAUGCUUAUAUUGUGCUGUACUAAUAUUAUAAUGUAUAUACAUAUAAUAUUGAUAAUAAUAUUCCGAUGCAAUACAAUAUAAUAAUAAUAAUACACUUUUAUAAUUGUACAUUUUGUUGUUUCAUACUAUUAUACACAUGAUUUUGCAUUAUUAUGUUGUUGUUUUAUAUUAUUAUAUUAUUAUUUUACAUCGUUUUUAUAUUUGUUCUUACGUAUUGCGUAUUAUAAUUAUUAUUUUGCAUCAUUAUUAUAUUCUGUUAUUUCGUGUUAUUAUAAUACACAGUAUUUUGCAUUAUUAUGUUGUUAUUUUAUAUUAUUAUAUUACUAUUAUUUUGCAUCCUUAUAUUAUUUGGAUCUUAUAUUAUUUUAUAUUAUUAUUAUUGUUUUUCAUCAUUAUUAUAUUAUUUUGUUCUUAUUUCAUAUUAUAUUAUAUUAUUAUUAUAUUGCAUCGUUAUUAUAUUAUUCUGUUAUUUCAUAUGUCCGAUUUACCUACAUGAGUGAAAAUCGAUUUGGAGGAAAAAAAUUAAAUACACGUACUCCAUGGACAUGAAAGAAAACUGGCUGAAAGUAAUGCAUAGAUGGUACCUAACCCCCCAAAAGAUAGGAUUUAUGUAUAAAAAUACUAAUAAUAAAUGCUGGAAAUGUAAAUCUCAAGUGGGCUCGUACCACCCUAUGUGGUGGAGUUGCAGAAAGAUGGCAAAGUUUUGGACGAUGAUGUUAGACGAAAGUAAUAAAAUUCUAAACACAAACUUUGCGAAGACGCCUGAGCUCCUCCUGCUAGGGUUAUAUGAUGAAUUAGAUAAGGUAGAUUUAAAUACAGAUAAACUAUUUACAUUUUUUUAUUACUGCAGCAAGGAUGGUAAUCGCAAAACAAUGGAAAAGUGAGAAAGCCCCAUCGAAAGAUGCCUGGCUGACCAAAUGGACUGAAAUAAAGGAUAUGGACAAACUUACCUUCUGAAUGAGAAAGAGCAACGGAAGAGCUAUAAGAGCCACGGACUGGUCAAACUUUGAAGACUACCUUGUUACUUCAGAGAAGGGAACCAGCAAGCGCUGAAUUCAAGUCAAAGGGAAGAAAGGGAAGAAACAAAAGGUCGAAGAGACAGAAGACAGAAGAUGCUUGAAGACACUCUCGCAAGGACACCGCCCGCCCCCCAAAAAAGGUCAUUGUCAGGGUAAUGGGUGUCAGGCUAGGCAUUUCAUGUCUAUCUUUGCAAUAAAAAACAGGCUACCUGUGUGCUAGGCUUUUGCAUGAAGAACACGGUUCCCCUCGUGUGUGGCAUCGAAGGUUCCCACUCGGGAACGGACGGGUCCUCCCUUUGUUCUAGGCAGAUGAUGGGGGUUUUCCUAUACAAGCCGUAGGGGCCACAGCUUGGGGGGCAGCGGGGGGCCCGGCCCUGGCACCGCGGGGAGCAGCACACCUUACGGGCAUUUUAAAAGCUCCCUUAAACUUAGACAGUGGCUAGCAAUAAAAAUAUUAAUACCUUAACUCACCUACUAACCCUACUAACACCAUUCUAACUAGGGCAGGCUGGCCUUUUAAAUAGGACUGUGUUUUGCCUGCUGGCAAGAACCAAGCUGGGAGGGAAGGGGGCCUCCUGGCCCCCCAUAGAAGGGCUCCCCUAGAAGGACAUUCAAAAGGCCCGCAAGGUGUCCUGAGAGCAGCCCCUGGGGCCCUCAGUGUGCCCCCCACGGUGCCAGGGCUGGGCCCCCCGCUCUCCCCCAACCCAUGACCCCUGCCGCCUGUAUCUCGUCCGCCCAGGGCCAACGGACGCCCCCUCCCUCCCCGGGCGGAGCUUCGGCGCCACACACAAGGGGAGGCCAGCCGUGGCCGCCAGAACAUGGCCAACCUGGUUUUGGACUGCAAACAUAGGCAUGUAGGGACCCCCUUUUAUUUAUGUAAGGCCACCCACCCAGGGGACCUGGUUAAAGGGGAUCCUCUAUUCUUAAAGUAAGGCCUAUAGAGAUCUCCUAUCCAGAAACUAAGGCGGCUUGGCCUAUAGAGAUCCCCUUUUGUUAAACUAAGGUGGCCUGGCCUAUAGAGAUCUCUUGUUGUUAAACUAAGGUGGCCUGGCCUAUAGAGAUCUCUUGUUGUUAAACUAAGGUGGCCUGGCCUAUAGAGAUCUCCUAUUCUUUAAGGUAACGCCAGGCGAUGUGGAGAUCCCUGGUUCUUUUAACCCUUAAGGCCAACCGUGGGGAGAUCCCUGGUUCUUUUAACCCUUAAGGCCAACCGUGGGGAGAUCCCUGGUUCUUUUAACCCUUAAGGCCAACCGUGGGGAGAUCCCUGGUUCUUUUAACCCUUAAGGCCAACCGUGGGGAGAUCCCUGGUUCUUUUAACCCUUAAGGCCAACCGUGGGGAGAUCCCUGGUUCUUUUAACCCUUAAGGCCAACCGUGGGGAGAUCCCUGGUUCUUUUAACCCUUAAGGCCUGCCUGGGGAGAUAUCCUAUUCUUUUUUCAUGAAAAGUCGGGUAUAGACCUUCUCUUUUCUCUCCCGUUUCAUGUGCCUGGACUCCCGGAGGGCUCCUGCCGGACACCGUCUCCCAUCGGCCGAGAGGGAUCCUUCCUGUUUGGAAAGCAUCUGCUACACAGGUAAAAAGAAGAUUCCGGGAAGGAGAUUCCUACAGCGGAGCCCUAAAGCCAGGUGAGACGUUCCUUCCAACCUCCACGGCUGCUUUGCACACACACACAUGACACACACAUGACACACACACACACGCAUAUACAGCUGGGGGCCCUCAGGGACUCUCCCCCCAAUAGAUCGGGGACUCCCACUCCGGCAAUUGGCCAUUGGAAAUGCCUUGAAGCAGUUUGGGGCUUCCGGCCAAGCGCUCGCAAAGAGAACCCAUUCAAGGUAUACGUGGAGCCCCUUUUAUUUAUUAUUUAUUGACAGCAUUUCUAUUCCGCCCUUCUUUCUCACCCCAAAGGGGACUCAGGGCGGAUCACAUGACACAUAUAGGCAAACAUUCAGUGCCUUUUAACAUAGAACAAAGACAAACAAACAUAAGCUCCGAGCGGGUCUCGAACUCAUGACCUCCUGGUCAGAGUGAUUCAUUGCAGUUAUAAUUGCAGCUGGCUUCCUCUCCCGCCUGCGCCACAGCCCGGGCCAACCUUGAUAAAAAGGGCCUGGCACGUGGAAAACUCUAUUUGUAAGGCAAACCCUCGUUAAAGGAGGUUUGCAAUUAAUUUAAAACCAGGCUUCUGAGGGACCCGCUGCGUUUAAAGCCAAACCUAGCAGGUGGGAACCUCUCUUGUUGGAUAAAGGAGAUCCCCUCUGGUUAACGUAAGGGGAGGGACCCUCCAUUUUUAAUAGGAUGCCUGGCAGAAUCUUAACCUCAAUGCAGGCCUAUGGGGUCCAGCCUUAUUCUCAAUGACUGCAUAGCCAGGCAUGAAGGGACCCCAUAUUAUUAAUUUGAAGCCUGGUAAAAAGAGAUUUAUGUAUUUAUUUAUUUACUACAUUUAUACCCCGCCCUCUUUUCCCUUAAAGGGGACUCAGAGCGGCUUACAAGUUAUAUUUACAUACACUAUCUCAUUAGCAUAGCACAAUAUUAGCAUUAUAUAUUACUACAUUGCACUAUACCACUAUAUAGAAAUAUUGUUAGCAAUAUUACAUUUAAAAUAUAAUAUGUAAUUAAUAUUAUUGUAUCAUUGUUAGUAUUAUAUUGCUUUAUUUAUUUAUUUAUUUAUUAGAUUUAUAUGCUGCCCUUCUCACCCCGAAGGGGACUCAGAACGGCUUAAAAAUUAAAUUUACAUACAAUAUUAUAUUAUUAGCAUAGUACAAUACUGGCAAUAAAUUACUAUAUUGUACUAUAUCAAUAUAUGGUAGUAUUAUUAGUAAUAUUACAUGCAAAACAUAAUAUAUAAUUAAUAUUAUUAUAUUGUAUUAUUAGUAUAUCGUAUUACAAUAUAAUAUUAUGAAUAUAUGUAUAUACAAUAUGUUGUAAUUAUUAUAUAUUAAAUUUUAUAUAUAUAUAUAUAUACACACACAGUAGAGUCUCAUUUAUCCAACAUAAACGGGCCAGCAGAAUGUUGGAUAAGCGAAUAUGUUGGAUAAUAAGGAGGGAUUAAGGAAAAGCCUAUUAAACAUCAAAUUAGUUUAUGAUUUUACAAAUUAAGCACCAAAUCAUCAUGUUAUACAACAAAUUUGACAGAAAAAGUAGUUCAAUAUGCAGUAAUGCUAUGUAGUAAUUACUGUAUUUAUGAAUUUAGUACCAAAAAAUCAUGAUGUCUUGAAAACAUUGUCUACAAAAAUGUGUUGGAUAAUCCAGAAUGUUGGAUAAGCGAGUGUUGGAUAAGUGAGACUCUACUGUAUAUAAAAAUUAGAAUAGCAUGUUAUUAGGGGAGGAGCAUCUUAAUUAUUAGAUGUCAGUAUUAGUCAUUAGAUGUUAAUAUUAGUUAUUCAUAUUAGUAUCAAUAUUACAUUAAUAUACAAUAGAGCAGGGGUCCCCAAACUAAGGCCCGUGUGCGGGAUGCGGCCCAUCGAAGCCAUUUAUCCGGCCCCCACAGCACAACCCUUAUUAUUAUUAUUAUUAUUAUUAUUAUUAGCAUUGAGGCUGGGUGGCCAUCUGUCAGGGGUGCUUUGCUUGUGCUUUCGGUGCACAAAGGCAGAAAGGGAUUGGACUCAAUGGCCAACCCUUCCAACCCUCAUAAUUAUUAUUAUUAUUAAUUAUUAUUAUUAUUGCUUGGUGGCCAACUAUAGUCUGGCCCUGCAAUGGUCUGAAGGAUCGUGAACUGGCUCCCUGUUUAAAAGGUUUGGGGACCCCUGCAAUAGAGUAUAUUAUUAUCCUAGCACAAUGUUAUUAUGUUAUAUAGUAGUAUGUAUGUUCAUAUUAUUUAUUCAUAUUAGUAUCAAUAUGACAUUAAUAUACAAUAGAGUCUAUUAUUAUCCUAGCACAAUAUUCAUAUGUUCUAUAGUAGUAUGUUGUUGCUAGGGGGAGGGGCCCCCCACUGAUGGGGAGGGCCCCCCCACUGAGAUCCCCUGUCAUUAAUGUUAGACCAGGCAUUUAACGCCUACCUUUGCAUUCAAGAGCAGGCUCCUAGGCCUUUGCAUUCAAGAGCAGUGCGCUAGGCCUUUGCGCAAGGAACACCACCCACGGCUCCCCUUGUGCGUGGCGUUGAGGCCCCACUCGGUGACGGACAGGUCCUCCCUUUGCCCUGGGCAGGUCGUGGGGGGGGGGUCUCCCUGGAUGUGCAGGGGGUCACGGCUGGGGGGAGAGCGGGGGCCCGGCCUUGGCACCCCCCUGGGGACCCGAGGGGCCGCUCUCAGCCCACGUCACGGGCAUUUUAAAACGUCCCCGGGAUGUAGUAGCUCAGAUUAAUCCCUGCACUAACCGCUAACCCUACUAACCCAGUUCUAACCCGGGCAGGCUAGGCUUUUAAAUAGGACUGUUUUUGCCUGUUGGCAAGAACCAAGUGGGAGGGGGCCUCCGGGCCUCCCGUGGGAAGAAGGGCUCCGGCCCCCCCGGCCCCCCGGCCCCUGCCCUGUGCUGGGAGCCCCCCGCCCGGGCCCCCAGAGGCCUCCCUGUGGUACCGGGCUUGGCCCCCAUCCGCUCUGCCCCCAUCCGACGGCCUAGGAAAGCCCCCCACCAUCCGCCCAGGGCCAACGGACGGCCCUCCCUCCCUCCCAGGGGCAGCCGCGUUCCUCACGCAAAGGUCUGGCGCACGGGAGCCUGUUUCUGAAUGCAAACGUGGGGCCCAGGACCCCCCCCCCUUGUCUCCGUGCAGGGCCACCCCCCCAGGGACCCCCACAAAUGCCUGGUGACAGGGGAUCCUCUCCUCUUAGCAGGAGGAAAAGCCACGUGCGUAAAGCGGUGCCUUUGCUCCCGUCGUUCCCAAGAGCCCCCCAAAAGCGAGAUGCUCCCCUGGGUUCAGCCCUCCUGACCCCUGUCUUCUCCCUUGUUCCAUGUCUCCAAAAUCCCCGAGGGAGGGGCUCCUCCUGGACAAGAGCCAAGGACGGAAGGACGGACGGACGGACGGACGGAGAUCCCAGAGAGAGAGCGGAGAGCAGGACGCCUUGCCUUUUCGGAGCUGCUGAGGUCGACCCCUUUCCAACGAGGUCAGCUUUCAAGAAGAAAACUCUUCCCAAAAAAGUGUGUUCUGGUUAUUAUUCAAAGGCACAACGUUCAAUAUUUGACAGCAUUAAACAUCUAGAUUACAGGACAGUUUAUGUUACUGCAUUUUAUACACCUGACCUUGUUUUUACAAAUAAAGUACCUGUAUAAUUUUUGCCUCUCUAUAUAUAUAUUGUACUAUGCUCAGACUCAUUGUUCUGAUAUGCUGUUAUAUGGUUUAAUUGUUUAUAUUGUUUAUAUUUUUAAUGUAUGACUGUUUAUUACAUGUGACAUUGGGCUUGUUUCCCAUGUGAGCCACCCCGAGUCCUCCUGGGGGAGAUGGGAGCGGGAAUAUAAAAAUAAAGUAUUAUUUUGUAUUAUUAUUAUUAUUUAUAAUAUUUAUUAUAUAUAAUUUUCUUGCACCCCAAGUACCUCUGGCAAGUGCCAAAGAGUAUUUAACUCUGCCUACAUGGCACUAAAGUGUAUUUAUAUGUUGAUUGUUCCUAUUGAUUUUAUGUUAUGUUUUUUUUUGCUUUGUAUAAUAAGGCAUUGAAUUUUUGCCUUAAUAAUAAUAGUUUUAUGAAUGUUUUAAUGUCACUGAAUUUUGAAUUGAAUUGAAAUGUCAUUGUAAUUGUUUAUAUGUGUAUUUUCUAUUUGUAAGCCACCCUGAGUCUCCCCUUAUUGGGUGAGAAGGUUUGGGAAGAAAUACUGUCAUAAAUAAAUAAAUAAAUAUUCUGUGUC